GUGAACGCUGGCGGUAGGCCUAACACAUGCAAGUCGUACGGCAGCACAGUAAGAGCUUGCUCUUACGGGUGGCGAGUGGCGGACGGGUGAGGAAUACAUCGGAAUCUACUUUUUCGUGGGGGAUAACGUAGGGAAACUUACGCUAAUACCGCAUACGACCUACGGGUGAAAGCAGGGGAUCUUCGGACCUUGCGCGAUUGAAUGAGCCGAUGUCGGAUUAGCUAGUUGGCGGGGUAAAGGCCCACCAAGGCGACGAUCCGUAGCUGGUCUGAGAGGAUGAUCAGCCACACUGGAACUGAGACACGGUCCAGACUCCUACGGGAGGCAGCAGUGGGGAAUAUUGGACAAUGGGCGCAAGCCUGAUCCAGCCAUACCGCGUGGGUGAAGAAGGCCUUCGGGUUGUAAAGCCCUUUUGUUGGGAAAGAAAAGCAGCAGGUUAAUACCCCGCUGUUCUGACGGUACCCAAAGAAUAAGCACCGGCUAACUUCGUG
rnacentral:rRNA from 1 species